rnacentral:sRNA from 1 species
AAAUCCUAAAAGGGAACUACAGCUUG